GAUGAACGCUGGCGGCGUGCUUAACACAUGCAAGUCGAACGGAAAGGCUCCUGCUUGCAGGGGUACUCGAGUGGCGAACGGGUGAGUAACACGUGGGGGAUCUGCCCUGCACUUCGGGAUAAGCCUGGGAAACUGGGGCUAAUACCGGAUAGGACCACAUUUUGGAUGGGGUGGUGGAAAGUGUUUCGGUGUGGGAUGAGCUCGCGGCCUAUCAGCUUGUUGGUGGGGUAAUGGCCUACCAAGGCGUCGACGGGUAGCCGGCCUGGGAGGGUGGACGGCCACAUUGGGACUACGAUACGGACCAGUCGCCUACGGGAGGCAGCAGUGGAGAAUAUUGCACAAUGGGCGCAAGCCUGAUGCAGCGACGCCGCGUGGGGGAUGACGGCCUUCGGGUUGUGAACUCCUUUCGCUGGGGACGAAGCGCAAGUGACGGUACCUGGAGAAGAAGCACCGGCUAACUACGUG
rnacentral:rRNA from 1 species